UUAGAGACGGAAUUGGCGUCGGGGGUGUGGGUGGGGGGGUGGGGGCGAUAUCUCACUUUGUUGCCUAGGCUGGUCUCGGACUCCUGGCUUCAAGGGAUCCUCCUGCCUUGGCCUCUUAAAGUGCUGGGAUUACAGGCGUGAGCCACCGCCUCCGGCCGCCUCUGAGUUUCCAGCUUCGUUGGCCCUCCAGCCUUUUAAGCUGUUGGGCCUAGGAUCAGGAAAGGUUUGUUGAAUGGGGAACUAAGAAAUGAAUUCGUUCGUUCGACAAACGUUUCCUGAGCAGCCGCUGGGUGCUAGGCGCGGUGCCAGCGCGGAAUGUCCAGGGAGACCUGGUGCCCAAAGCUUGGACCCAGCGUGAGAAAUGAGAAGCAGAUACAAAGUAGUGUGGGAGUGCAGAGGAGACAAAGCAAGCCUCAUUAGGCCCAUUGCUUGCUCUGCUCUCCCUUGUACUUACCGGUGCUUGACAAUAUACAGUUAUUUACUAGCUUGGUUAUUGACUUCCCUACCUGGCACUCAACUUUAUUCACUGCUGUAUCCUCAGUGCCUAGGACGAUGCUUGGAACGUGAUUCAUUGAUUCCAGGUAAAUCAGAGGAACAAGCAACAUGAACAGAAAUAUGUAGAAAAUGCUAUUAUGCAGAAGCAUAAUUGUUGUUUCAGAAGUCCAGCAUCUGAUGCACUUAACAAUAGAGAAUAUAUUAAACUCUUUCCAAAAUAACCUGUUGUUCAUGCCUGUGUUGGAAGUGUUUUGUUUGUUUUUAAGUAAAUAUUGGUGAUUUGUUGCCAAAAACCUAAACUGUUUAUUGCUGUCAACUUAAAUAACGAACAGAGAGAGGCUCUCUAAAAGAAAAUGGCAUUUAUUCAGGAAUAGAGCAUUGCAAUGAGAAAAUGCAUGCGAUAGUUAACUGUGUGUAUCCUGGGAGAUAGAGAAAGACAAAGAUCUUCAAAGGAAAAAUUAGGAGGGUUACAUAAUUGUUUUGAGAUAAUUAUUUUUGA
rnacentral:antisense_RNA from 1 species